rnacentral:rRNA from 1 species
UACGGAGGGGCUAGCGUUGUUUCGGAAUACUGGGCGUAAAGCGCACGUAGGCGGCUUUGUAAGUUAGAGGUGAAAGCCCGGGGCUCAACUCCGGAAUUGCCUUUAAGACUGCAUCGCUAGAAUUGUGGAGAGGUAAGUGGAAUUCCGAAGUGUAGAGGUGAAAUUCGUAGAUAUUCGGAAGAACACCAGUGGCGAAGGCGACUUACUGGGACACAUAU